GCCAGACUCCUACGGGAGGCAGCAGUGGGGAAUAUUGCACAAUGGGGGGAACCCUGAUGCAGCGACGCCGCGUGGGUGAAGGAGUAUUUCGGUAUGUAAAGCCCUCUCAGCAGGGAAGAACAAUGACGGUACCUGACUAAGAAGCACCGGCUAACUACGUGCCAGCAGCCGCGGUAAUACGUAGGUGGCAAGCGUUAUCCGGAUUUACUGGGUGUAAAGGGCGUGUAGGCGGGUCUGCAAGUCAGAUGUGAAAUCUCAUGGCUCAACCAUGGAACUGCAUUUGAAACUGUAGAUCUUGAGUACUGGAGAGGCAGACGGAAUUCCUAGUGUAGCGGUGAAAUGCGUAGAUAUUAGGAGGAACACCAGUGGCGAAGGCGGUCUGCUGGACAGCAACUGACGGUGAGGCGCGAAAGCGUGGGGAGCAAACAGGAUUAGAUACCCGAGUAGC
rnacentral:rRNA from 1 species